rnacentral:rRNA from 1 species
AGUGAACGCUGGCGGUAGGCCUAACACAUGCAAGUCGAACGGCAGCACAGGAGAGCUUGCUCUCUGGGUGGCGAGUGGCGGACGGGUGAGGAAUACAUCGGAAUCUACCUUUUCGUGGGGGAUAACGUAGGGAAACUUACGCUAAUACCGCAUACGACCUACGGGUGAAAGUGGGGGACCGCAAGGCCUCACGCGAUUAGAUGAGCCGAUGUCCGAUUAGCUAGUUGGCGGGGUAAUGGCCCACCAAGGCGACGAUCGGUAGCUGGUCUGAGAGGAUGAUCAGCCACACUGGAACUGAGACACGGUCCAGACUCCUACGGGAGGCAGCAGUGGGGAAUAUUGGACAAUGGGCGCAAGCCUGAUCCAGCCAUACCGCGUGAGUGAAGAAGGCCUUCGGGUUGUAAAGCCCUUUUGUUGGGAAAGAAAUCCUGUCGAUUAAUACGCGGUGGGGAUGACGGUACCCAAAGAAUAAGCACCGGCUAACUUCGUG